rnacentral:rRNA from 1 species
UACGGAGGAUGCGAGCGUUAUCCGGAUUUAUUGGGUUUAAAGGGUGCGUAGGCGGACGCUUAAGUCGGCGGUAAAAUUGCGGGGCUCAACCUCGUCGAGCCGUUGAAACUGGGUGCCUUGAGUGGGCGAGAAGUACGCGGAAUGCGUGGUGUAGCGGUGAAAUGCAUAGAUAUCACGCAGAACUCCGAUUGCGAAGGCAGCGUACCGGCGCCCAACUGACGCUGAAGCACGAAGGCGUGGGUAUCGAACAGG